GACGAACGCUGGCGGCGUGCUUAACACAUGCAAGUCGAACGGAAAGGCCCUGCUUUUGUGGGGUGCUCGAGUGGCGAACGGGUGAGUAACACGUGAGUAACCUGCCCUUGACUUUGGGAUAACUUCAGGAAACUGGGGCUAAUACCGGAUAGGAGCUCCUGCUGCAUGGUGGGGGUUGGAAAGGUUCGGCGGUUGGGGAUGGACUCGCGGCUUAUCAGCUUGUUGGUGGGGUAGUGGCUUACCAAGGCUUUGACGGGUAGCCGGCCUGAGAGGGUGACCGGCCACAUUGGGACUGAGAUACGGCCCAGACUCCUACGGGAGGCAGCAGUGGGGAAUAUUGCACAAUGGGCGGAAGCCUGAUGCAGCAACGCCGCGUGCGGGAUGACGGCCUUCGGGUUGUAAACCGCUUUCGCCUGUGACGAAGCGUGAGUGACGGUACUGGGUAAAGAAGCACCGGCUAACUACGUG
rnacentral:rRNA from 1 species